AAAUAUUUUAAAUAGUCUAUCUUACAACAAGUUGAACAAAUAUAGACCAGAAAAAAUCACGUGUACUAUCACGUGAAAAGUGAGCUUUUUACUCCAAUAAGGCGCAAUUUUAAAGUCAUACCUAGGAAAACGUAUUUAUGUCAUCAUCUGUGUCAAAAAUAAGAUAAAUAUAUAGAUGACUAUAUAAAAGAGGAAAAAAUUCUUCUUAAUAAAAGCCAUGUUAGAUAAAAUUAAAAUCAUUCCGCAUUUAUGAUAUGCAUAACUGAAAUUCUGUGACGUGUCAUGAUUUUGAUUCAUUUUGUAGAUUUUCUAGCCCUACCAAUAAUAUUUGAAAAGAAAAGUGAAAUUAAUUGUUGGUGAUACUGCAAGAAAGCUAUUACUGAAGUAAACACAAAGAAGUUUUGACUUGGAAGCUUUAUGCCAAUAAACCUUACACAGUUUACUAUUAUUUAUUUCAAUUAUUGAACAUCCUGACUUACAUGCAAA